UACGAAGGGGGCUAGCGUUGCUCGGAAUCACUGGGCGUAAAGGGUGCGUAGGCGGGUCUUUAAGUCAGGGGUGAAAUCCUGGAGCUCAACUCCAGAACUGCCUUGAUACUGAAGUAUCUUGAGUUCGGGAGAGGUGAGUGGAACUGGCGAGUGUAGAGGUGAAAUUCGUAGAUAUUCGCAAGAACACCAGUGGCGAAGGCGGCUCACUGGCCCGAUACUGACGCUGAGG
rnacentral:rRNA from 1 species